GUAGGGAAUCUUCGGCAAUGGGGGCAACCCUGACCGAGCAACGCCGCGUGAGUGAAGAAGGUUUUCGGAUCGUAAAGCUCUGUUGUAAGAGAAGAACGUGUGUGAGAGUGGAAAGUUCACACAGUGACGGUAACUUACCAGAAAGGGACGGCUAUCUACGUGCCAGCAGCCGCGGUAAUACGUAGGUCCCGAGCGUUGUCCGGAUUUAUUGGGCGUAAAGCGAGCGCAGGCGGUUUGAUAAGUCUGAAGUUAAAGGCAGUGGCUUAACCAUUGUUCGCUUUGGAAACUGUUAAACUUGAGUGCAGAAGGGGAGAGUGGAAUUCCAUGUGUAGCGGUGAAAUGCGUAGAUAUAUGGAGGAACACCGGUGGCGAAAGCGGCUCUCUGGUCUGUAACUGACGCUGAGGCUCGAAAGCGUGGGGAGCAAACAGGAUUAGAUACCCUAGUAGUCC
rnacentral:rRNA from 1 species